rnacentral:rRNA from 1 species
CCCUUAGAUGUUCUGGGCAGCACGCGCACUACAAUGGUCUUCGCAAACGGAUGCAUUCUCGAAGGAGAAUGCCAAUCUUGGAAUCUAUGCCUUGGUCGGGACAGUUGUUUGCAAUUUUUCGACUCGAACCAGGAAUUCCUUGUAAUCGUGAUUCAUCACAUCACGAUGAAUACGUCCCUGCCCUUUGUACACACCGCCCGUCGCUCCUACCGAUCGAAGAGUUAGGUGAAUUGUUUUGAUCGAUAAGAUUUGACUAUGGUCAACUCUCGUUGUGAAAUUCUGUGAAUCUGACUGUUUAGAGGAAGGAAAAGUCGUAACA